rnacentral:rRNA from 1 species
GAAGGAUCAUUACCGAGUGCGGGCCCUCUGGGUCCAACCUCCCAUCCGUGUCUAUCUGUACCCUGUUGCUUCGGCGUGGCCACGGCCCGCCGGAGACUAGCAUUUGAACGCUGUCUGAAGUUUGCAGUCUGAGUUUUUAGUUAAACAAUCGUUAAAACUUUCAACAACGGAUCUCUUGGUUCCGGCAUCGAUGAAGAACGCAGCGAAAUGCGAUAAUUAAUGUGAAUUGCAGAAUUCAGUGAGUCAUCGAGUCUUUGAACGCACAUUGCGCCCCCUGGUAUUCCGGGGGGCAUGCCUGUCCGAGCGUCAUUGCUGCCCUCAAGCACGGCUUGUGUGUUGGGCUUCCGUCCCUGGCAACGGGGACGGGCCCAAAAGGCAGUGGCGGCACCAUGUCUGGUCCUCGAGCGUAUGGGGCUUUGUCACCCGCUCCCGUAGGUCCAGCUGGCAGCUAGCCUCGCAACCAAUCUUUUUAACCAGGUUGACCUCGGAUCAGGUAGGGAUACCCGCUGAACUUAA